rnacentral:rRNA from 1 species
UUCCGUAGGGUGAACCUGCGGAGGGAUCAUUACCGAGUUUACAACUCCCAAACCCCUGUGAACAUACCUAUACGUUGCCUCGGCGGAUCAGCCCGCGCCCCGUAAAACGGGACGGCCCGCCCGAGGACCCUAAACUCUGUUUUUAGUGGAACUUCUGAGUAAAACAAACAAAUAAAUCAAAACUUUCAACAACGGAUCUCUUGGUUCUGGCAUCGAUGAAGAACGCAGCAAAAUGCGAUAAGUAAUGUGAAUUGCAGAAUUCAGUGAAUCAUCGAAUCUUUGAACGCACAUUGCGCCCGCCAGUAUUCUGGCGGGCAUGCCUGUUCGAGCGUCAUUUCAACCCUCAAGCUCUGCUUGGUGUUGGGACUCGCGGUAACCCGCGUUCCCCAAAUCGAUUGGCGGUCACGUCGAGCUUCCAUAGCGUAGUAAUCAUACACCUCGUUACUGGUAAUCGUCGCGGCCACGCCGUAAAACCCCAACUUCUGAAUGUGACCUCGGAUCAGGUAGAAGACCCCUCCC